UAUCUUAUCUCGUAGACUUACACUCGCAAAAGAUACACUACUUUGAGCUCCAGCGGCACAAUCACCAGUACUUUCUUCUUUCCCUGAACUCAAUACUGUAUUUCUGAAACAUCAUUUCCAGCUCCUGCGCCAACUCAUUCCCUUCCAGCAGCAUAUUGUGUUGCUUUAAGAAUGUAAGUUCCAUGAUGUGAUUCUGACCCGAGCUCUCCUUGAGGUGAUGAACCGAACCCUCACUGAUAAAGCGGCAACUCUGACUUAAAGCUACCUAUGCGCCUAUCCUUUUUGACCAAUAUAUAUCAUAUAUAGCAAAUUGACUGCUUAUUAAGUUGCAUCAUAGAUCUUUCUCUUGAAACUCUCACUCCAGGAAUGGGCAUGGAAUUUCUGAAUAGAUCUGGAAUUACCGCUCCGUGGGUCUAUACAAUACCCCCACUAUCUGGCAACUCCACUCUAUGAACCACUUGCUGCUUACUUAAGCUAUGAAGAUGCACCCAAAGAAACAGGACUGUCAACAAUCAACCACUUUCCCUGACGCCGAGAAAUACCCUUAUCCAGCAACUGAUCUUUAAACUGACUCCCCACUCUCUUUCCUGCCCACAUCAACACCCUACUUUAGACUUGAAGAACAGCUUGCAGCCGGCUUCUCACUUGUAGCUGACCUCUUUUCCCCUGUUCCUUGAGACAAACUUCAUUAAUUGUCCUAAUCUCGAGCGGCAGAUCCUUCUGGACCUGGUAGACGCACUAACGGAGUUUGACACCCGAUACUCUCUGCUCUAGUUUCAUCCUGAGUUUAUAACCUCUUAUUUAGGGGGUUGUUGAGUCAACAAGGGGAAUUCCACUCAUAGGUAGGCGCAUCAACUAUAGUAGCUUACUCUCUCCGCUCUAGCAGUUAGUAACGGGUCCUUUUUGAUAGUACUGGCCGGUUAAGGGAGGAUUCUCUUACUUGCAAGGGAGUUUCACAAAUAAAUAAGAUUUAUAGGCAUAUGAUUCUCUUUCUUCUACUUUUGGAUGAAGAUCCUUCUUCCCUUGCCAUUGAUCAGUGAGGAAAGCUUUAAUUGAACUUGCACUGAGUCAACCAGCAAAGGAAUCCUUUUUUCGAACAGCGAGUAAACCAACCAAGCACAUAUACUCAGAUGCAUAAGAUUGGUCAUAUUCUUUUAUACCUUAGGAGCUGGGGAGAUACUAUUGAUUUGAUACCUUAGGAGCUAGAUCAGUUGCUGUAUCAAGAGAAAGUCAGUCAGGUUACCCGUCUGAAGGAGAGGCCAGUUCUGCUCUUGUUUAAUCGUAUGAAGGAGCAGGCUAAAGUCAUAGGUCAUAGGGAGGGGAAUAAGUAGCAUUCUUUAUCUAAUGAGGAAGCCUCGGUAGGUUAGGUGUUUGUUCUAGAUGAUGCCUUUAUUGAAGAAGAGGAUUGAUCGGAGACUCGCCUCUCUCCCAUUGCUUGUUGGGGCAGUAAACCCUUUUUCUAAAGUACUGUUUGUUAGCCUCGGAUAAACCCCAUUCUUAAAAGGAUACAUAAAGAUCCCGAUCGAUCCUACUUAUGGUUAUCUACGGUCUCAUCGAUCCUACUUAUGGUUAUCUACGGUCUCAGUGAGCAACGAGCUUCUUCAAUAGCUAGCCUAGCCUCUUACUCCUUUCUAUCAUACAGACAGAGCUAAUUCUACUGUUCUGUUUCCGGACUUCCCGCUUCUGAGAAAAGUGCUAUUCCCGCUUCCAAGCUAGUGGAUUCUUUCCCUCUAAUGAGUUCAGAUCCAUUGCAAACUCCUAAAUUGAACUACACUUUCUCCUUGACCGAUUAAAACAUCCCGAUCAGUCAAAUCAGUCAUAGCGAAGGUACGAUGUAGCGCAUAUAGUAAUGGAAAGCGAUCAGUAACUCUCUUUCUCUCCUUUAAUGGAAUCAGUAGAGUAAGCUAUAAGUAAAGAAGUAAAGGAUCGGAUCGGGUAAAAUAAUCUUCUAAAGAAGCAGUGCCCAUUGAAGAAACAUAAUCCUCAGUGCUCUGAACCAACCUAGUAACCAAUGCUAUCAAAAACCCAGGAAUCACUCUUUCGAACGGGGGCGGUAAGUUCACCAUAUUCUUUAUUAACUAUAGGAGUGGCGGUAAGUUCACCAUAUUCUUUAAUUCCACAGUAUUCCUCAAGUAAUUGGGGCGCGGCAGGAACCACAUCUUAGUACUUAUAGCUUCUAUGACCCAUUAUCUGCAUUUAGUAUAAUAAACUACAGCAACAUGGUUAUGACCCACGAACACAGUUUAAACGCCUGCCGCACUUUUAGCUCGCUGACGCUCUUUUAGCUCGCUACCGCUUUUCACUCGCUACCGCUACACAUUAUCCGUUACUUGGCCGGGAAAGCCUUGAACUCCUCCUGGAAACUCAGAAAGUGGUUGGUUGCUCAUCUACCUCCCCUCUGAACUCUGUCAACUAGCUAAUCUCACUCAGGUAUGCCUGGCAGCUAGCUAAUCUCACUCUGUCAACCCGGACUGCCACUCGGCCAAUGACUUAAGAGCUGUAGGCCAGUUUCAUCUGUGAAUUGACACUCCUGACGCCAUGCUUCAUAUCCUGCUCCUUCUGAUGAUGAUGUAUCUUCUCUUGUUCCUGUAGUUUUAUACCUUCCCUUCCUACGUAGCUUAUCUCUGUUACUACUUUGUUCCAUUCUUCAUAUUCUACUAACAGGUCUUCCACUCUAACUCUGACCCACCUCUCCUUCUGCCCUAUUAUUAAGUACACUGCUGACUAUAAGUACUGAAGUAAUGAAUUGCUAUCAAAAAAGCCGGGAAAACGCCAACUUUGGAUUUCCAUGAUGCCUUCCAGGAGGCAAAACUCCUUGGCUACCUUUUUUCUCGGGAAAACGUGAAAUUGUAAUCUCAAUCGAACCCUUUAGGAGGGAAAAUGACUUGGCUACCGACAAGCAGCGGCACACGACGCUGCGCGUCAGCAACAACAUAGAUGUGUUAUAAGCAGUUAUGACCAAGUCCUGUGUUCGUAACCGAGAAAACGCCAAAUGAUCAUUAGAAAUUGGACAUCUAUUAGCGGGCCAAGGAACUACUAAUGUUCCGCGGCAGGAGCUCCCCUUCGCUAUCAAAAAACACGGGCCAAGUAACUACUAAUGUUACGCGGCAGGAGUUCCCGGAAAAGUAGAAUGAAAAUAAGGUUCUCUAUUAGCCAAAUUGUCUUCACUGCCAACAGCUCCUGCCGCUACACUUACGUAGUUACUUGGUGCAUCUAGUAGAGGAGACUUACUUGUUGCAUUCUGAGUUUGAGGGGUAGUAGUUGUGCUCGUGCAGUCUAGUAGUCCAGGUAGUAGUAGUCCCGUGUAAGGGAGUUGACAGUUCCAGUUCUCAAGUCAGUAUUUGAAGAUAAAUUGACUGAGUAGCUAAGGUUUCUAAUAGUGAUUUGCCUUACUGAGUUGCCUUAGAUGCAGAAUAUGGGUCAUACACGGAUUCCAUUAAAGGAGAGAAAGAGAGUUACUGAUUCCAUUAAACCCCUAGGGCUAAGGAUUAUGUUUCCCCGGCAUCAAUCCCUCGCUGAGCUAGAGCACCAACCAAACCCUAACUACUUUCUCAUAAUUACACUACAGGCCGAAGAAAAGAAGGCAGAAUCCUUAUCUUAAUCAGUAUCAUCAGCAGAAUUGCCAGCCCUAUAGUAAGUUGUAAAAGGAGGAAUUACAGAAUAGAGUGGACAUUUUAUAGAAUAGUCAAGAAUUCUUUCCCUCGCCUCUUGCUCACGUUAGCGCAACAGCAACAGUCACUCUUUUAGCCGAUGAAGACAGGUAUUCCCAGUAGCGGGGGCAAACCAGACGAGCAUACAGAUACUAAUACUAGUGUCACUCUUUUUCUACUCCUAUGUUAUGUUUUCAAUUCAAUGAGUUUCUAGUUGUGUUUAUGUUUUCUGGCGUAACUAGUUAAGGGAAAAGAGGCCUUCACUGGAAUUGAUCCAGCUCCUUCUGUAUCGCUACUGGGUCUAUCUUCUUUAAGAUCGCUACUGGGUCUAUCUUCUUUAAGAAUAAAUGCACCAUAAGAGCUUGUCGGGGGGCAACAUCGGGAAUUGACUAUUUGCGGAGUAACAGAUAGGUUCAACGACCAGAACUAGAGGUUUGGAUACCAGAAAUAAGGAAAUGUCGAUGAAGCUUCUUCUUAAUAUGAUGAAACUCGAACUGGGCGAACAGAACGAAACCUGUCUUCGGCUUAGUGGCCCACUACUGAGUUAAUGCUCUAAAGUGAGCGGAAUGACAGAGUCUCCUUGUUAGCUUGUUCUGUGCGUGCCUAAAUGCCUUAUCAAGCGCCUUGCACUGAAGUCUCAUAUUAACAAGGAAGCAAGACUUAGUGCUAACGCUUAUAUGUCUUGUGGUGCGAGUGUUUUAGCAUAUUCGAACUGUGAUUAUCAUUGGCGGUAGUGAAAGAAAUAAUCUCGUAUCUAGAGGAGAAGCCCUAAGUAAAGUAAAGAAGAAUAAAGUAAUCAAACACAGAGGAGAGUGCGCACGCACCUUAGGUAAUUAUGUAACCCGACUGCCACUUAACUGACUACUUGACUUCGAGCAGAAAGAAUCUCAUCUGACAUAUAGUAUAAGUGCUAUACCUAACACAGCAGCUUACUCCAAUAACUACAGCUUAGUCCAAUAAACUACACUGCAAUAACUUAAAUAACGUCUUUCGCCUAUAAAGAAAGAUAGCCCAGAGAGUAAGGAAGCAAAGCAAUUAGUUGACUCUAUUCUAUAAACAAUGAAUGCUCAAUUCUCUGAUUUUGCCGACAUUCGGAGUGCGGGGUGCGAAAGGAAAGAACAAGCAACGUCGCCAGAGGUUGUGCUAACAUGAGAAAGCCCCUCCCUUGUUAACGGAGUUUUGAAGUCAAAGGGGAAGCUGGGUGUUUACUGAAUUCUAUACCUAUGUGUGUGCUUGAAAUUCCAUUUAUGGUUGCUCAAGCAAAGCAGUAAAGUAUCUCUGGUUUCGAUUCCAUUCUGAAAGUGUACGCGAGUAGAGUCAAGUAACUGCAAGGGAGCAAGAAGCAACUCGGUCGGGGACAAACGUAUCGUAUCGCAAAAGAACUCAACUAAUUAAAGGCUUUCUCAACAAGCAAUGGAGAUGAAGCAAGCAAACAGGAAGCAAGGCAACAAUUGAAUACUUCAAGUCAGAGGCAGAGUUUCGUUUACCAAAUACUUAUAAGACAGAGGCCGAGGCAAGCAACACACCUACUCAUAUAGCACAGAGGCAGAGUUGAGUUCACCAAAUACACUAUACAUUAGGGAUCGAGCAGAGUUUCGUUCAGCUGUCGUAUUCAAGGAGCACCACUUUGAGCACUACUUUGAGCAUACCCAGCUAGCAAACUACAGCUUCAAAGCAAACUAUAGCGAAAAAGAAGAAAGAGCAACCCGAGCGCCUAUAUUCUAUUCAAUAGGUAAAGCUCUAUAUUUAUUCAACAGGAAAGGGUGCUUCUUUACUUUUGGAUAGUGCUACAUCCGCCUAUGUCUAAAGGAAGGGUGCGUGCCUCUUGACUUUUGGAGUGCAAUGUCUGCCUAUGUCCUAAUGUGUAUAGGAGCACUUCAUUCCUUUUUUACUUGACUCUUACACUCCCAUCUUUCUUUCUUUCUCGUUGACUAGAUACCGCACAGUUUAUGGUCUUGUUCUUGAUUCAUCUCUGUCUUUUUAUUCUGCUUGAGAUCUGGUUUAUGAUUCCGAUCCUGCUUAGAAUCCAUUUCUAAUUAACCUAGCAGUAAAGACAGUUGGGCCGAGUAAACCAGUCAAAUAAAAACAAGUAAAGGAUCUUAACGCGGAAGCCAUAUAAAAAGAAGUUAGUCAUUCAGAUCGGAUUGUAUGCGGGAAAAGAUUGGAGCUAAGAGCCUCUUUGAAGUUUAUAUAAAUUAUGAAAGCAAGAGCGAAAGCAACAAAGGAUAAAAGAUGUCUUUGGCGAAAGUCUAUAAUUAGUAAGCUUUGGAAGGUAGGUUAGGUUAAUUAUUUCUAUACUUUUGUGCUGCGCUCAAUUCUCUGUAUGGCUGAUGUGUUUAAAUAAACAGCUUGUUCUUACCUUGGGCUUUGCCCCGAACUCCCCUUGAAGAAGCACCCCCUCCCCUUGAAGAAGCACCCUUUGAUACAACACUCGCUCGAACUACAGAUUCUGUUGAUAUAGUACCUGAGCCAGCAUCUUCUCUUACCGCAACACUUUGACCAGUACUUUCUGAUUUUCCUUCACUUGACUUUCGAACACCAUUUCCUAGCACAGAUCCGGACUCGUAACUUGCAGAAUUGACAACACUCGCACAACACUUGAAACCUUAUUCCAUGAAAAGCGAGUCUCACGACCUAGCCUAAGAAUGCACAAAUUCCAGAAGUAGCUAGCUAGUAGCCGCAUUGAAGCAGCAGCCUUUACGCAGAUAGAGCUUGAAGCCAAGGAAACCAACCCUCUUUUAAAGAAAGAUGAGAGGGGGAGAACUAAACAAUAGGAAGGGUCUGUCUUUAGUGAGCUUUCUUACACAAUAUCUCUCUCUUUGUGGACUAAUCCUUUGGAAUGUAUAGCACCUAACCUAAGAACUUAUUGAAAUUGCUAAUACCCGCGCAAUAGAGCAAUCAAUACUCUUAUAAAGACCGACUAGCAUUAGUAUGGAGGAAGCCUUAACCUUUCUAGCUGCUCCCCGCUGCCCCCUUUCUUUUGACCCUACUAAAACCUAAUAGGUUGAGCCACCCUUAGCGCACUUUGCUUAGGUCGUAAUACUCUUCUCUCCCCUUGGUUAGGAUCUUUUGUAGUUUACUAGACAUAAAGAUAGAUGGUUUACUAGACAUAAAGAUGGUUUACUAGACAUAAAAGUGUUAGGAUGGAUGGUUUUGAAGCUUCUUAUAUGGAGGAUUUUAGGGGUAAUAAAGCAACUUCCUUUCUGUGACAAGGCAUUCCAGAGCAUCAAGCAAUACUGAACAAAAGCACCAACCAGUCCUAGCCUAUACCGACCCACCAACGAGGUCUAGUUUUUUUAUUAUACCCACGUGCCAUGGAUCAUUCAUUCACUUGGGCUAGCCAAUAAGUAUGACGAAAGAAGGCAAAGACAAAGAGCAAACUCUUACAUAAGUAGAAUUAUGCUUGCCACUAUACAUCGGUAUAACUAGUCCUUUCUUUCUUUUGGAAUGCUCUCAUGUUUGCAGCACGGAAGAUGGCACCUAAUUGCCAAUCCCCUUUACCUGGUUGUCAUGAGUAAACCUUUGAAAGAUCCUUGUGACCAAGUUCACUGAACGACCGACUCGGGUCGAUACUGCUCUUUCGGGUCAGCUCUUUUAGUAAGUAGAAUAGAAUAUUCGUAUGUUGAACAAAAGGCCGUGAAAGGCCUGUAUAUUUGUAUUUCACUGGCAUCUUUCUUGAAGCACAUCCUCUGACUGCCUUAUUAUCCCUUCCCUUCAUUUCUAUUGGUAUUGGCUAUGGAAGAUGAGUUCUGCUUUGGCAUGAAGACUCGAGCCAAGGGGGGCGCCUCAAAAAGAUAUGAGAAAGGACGUCCGGGCAAUUUCUUAGUUCGUCUCUCUUACUCCCGAAGGAAAGAUGAUCCCGCAUUCCUUCACUUUCUUUGUCGGAGUCAUCUUACAACAAGGUGAAGCUUUCAACUUAUACGCAGUAGCUAAGCGCGUUGAAGCAAUUGGCCGGCCUUAUGCAAAAGACAUGGACACUCUCUUUUCUGGAUUCUCUCUCUUCCUCUUAUCUAACAAUUCUUUCACUAAAUUAUGAAACUAGGCGCUUAUUUGAUUAUUCAGAGGUUGGUUUCUUUCAGAGUUAAAGAAGAAGGAAGCUUGGGAGAAUAGGUUCCCACGGAUCGGUAAAAAGUAUGCAUCCUGAAAUCUUUAAUGAGAGGGUGAAGCCCAUUCAAAGCUCUGUGCUAGCACUCGACUUCGGUACUAGGCCUCUUACUAGAUAGAUCUUCGGAAUCUGAUGACCAGAUGCUCGGAAGUGAAAAGAGGGAGAAGAGAAAGUACUGAUUAGCAGCCCGGACUAAUGCCUUACCCCAAGCUCACAAGGUUUUUUGUUUAGAAUAGAACACUCUAAAAGAAUGAAGUUCAAAAAGGCUUCGCUCCAGGAGCCCGGUACGAUAGAUUUAGGCGGAUGGGUGUUUGUGGUGUGGGAGUAUAGAAAAUGGUAUAAAGUUGUGUUGAUUGGAGGAAUAAGAGAAAGGUGGGCAAUGCCAUUCUUCGGUAGGUGCCGAGGAAAUAAUGUUUCUGUUCCGGUUCAAAAGAAGGGUAUGUUGUAUCUUUACUUAGAUCUAGUAGUAGGAAUAUCUUAUAGGGUGCUCAAACUCUAGUCGUUGCUUGGCCCUUUGCUUGACCCGCAAUUAGGAAGCCUGUCUAUUAGCAGAUCAGAGUAGCUUAGUGAAAGUAGCCCAGGGGAAUAAUCCGGUGGCAAUGUCGGGUGCUUCUUAUUCUAUAUUGAAUGGCGAGUUCUUCUUUCGGGUGUCCUUGACCGGAGAAUUUCUAUGAACAAAAGAAAGAAAAGGGCUUAGCGACCUUGACCUUAGACGAGCGCAACGAAGGAUCUGAUCCAGACAUAUUGAUCUCCAUUUUGUGCACUAUGGGACGGAUCUCAAGGCCUAGUCGGUAAUCUCUUUCAGAGACCUUGGUAUUAUAGCAGAAUUGCCCUCUGGGUCCGUUAGCGUUAGGAGUGGGCAGGGUAGUCCAGAGUACAGAGCCAUAACAGGAUUAGUUGACAGAGCCGAGGUCGGCAGACAAUAAGAAUCGCAUGGGAUAAAUCAAUUUGGAAGACAAGAAAAGCUGGGUGAGCUAGGUCGUAGAGAUCAGAGGCAGAGAAGAAUCAAUGGAAGCAGUUAAGUAAGAAGGAGAGGAAGCUGGGGAAUUGACUAAGGAGUAACAGUAGAGGUCGACCAAGCACUGCCAAUCAGAAUGUCCCUAAAGAGAGUCAAAGCCUACAACCACUGCUAACGAGUCUAUCCGACCCGAGUCUAAGAAUCAAACUAGUGAAACUCAGCCUUAAACUCUAACCUAGGAAUACGGAAUUACAGAAUGAGUUUACAUAGCGGAGGGAUAUCCUGAGUGAGAUUAGAUGGAGUGGGGAUCUUUCUUACUAACUACUUACAACGUUGCUUGUCGGCCGAACACAGGCAUUGAAGUCACCAGUUACCUUAUUCUAUGAAACCAGUUACCUUAUUCUAUUUAUUGUAUAUGAAUAGUUACUUCACACUGUAUUAGUACUAAGAGAAGUGAGUAUUAGUAGAUUCAUUGGGUACAAUCUAGCGCAUCUAGUAGAAGACACAGAAUUUCACUCCCCGGACUAACGCUUUGAACUCGCUACCGCUACACAUUUCAUUAGUAGUUUCUUCUGCCCUUCCCUGGCUAGUAUAGUCGUUUCUUCUUCCCCGAACUCAACUUCUAUUUGAACAACUCCCUUUCCUUUGCAAUGGAAUCUCCAUCUAAUUACCUAUGAGCUUCUCUUUUGAAAACCUCAACUCUCACUGCUCCUGACGCAGACGCUGAUGCGCUAAUAGGAAUUGUGGAAUCGAAUCCACCCUAUCUCUAUAUCUAUCUCUUAUUACCAAUUAUUUCUAUAUCAUAACCCUUAUCUUUUACUUGCGCUUACGGAGCUCAUCACCUUGUUCUUUGGCUUCUAAACUAACUUAUUGCUUUCCCUAACCAUAACAACCUUAGGCUAGAUCGAAAGCAACAAACAAUGGAACAACCUUUAUUGCAUUUGAGUCCAGAAAGCUUCAAGUAAGGGCAGAGGUUCUCAUGCCAAGAAAGAAAGAAAGAUUAUUUGAUUAAAGGCAACGGACGGAGUUUGUUUACGUUCCUAUAUAUCUCUAUUUGUGUAAUGCUAAUGCUAUAGAAUAUGAAAAUGAUAUACUUCACUACACCGAACAAGCAAAGCAGAAAAGCUACAAUAAUACUGAUAAAUAAACUACACUGAGAAGAUACCGCGUAGUGAACAGACGUCAAGCCAAUCACUGAUCUCGCUGCUGCACUUAUAAGAAAUACUUCCGGACUUUGAAUCUACUUUACUUAUAUUCUGACUUGAGAGUUUAUGACUUGAGAGUUUAUGACUUGAGAGUUGCAUUCUGGAUUCUAUAAUUCCUUAUUUCUUGUUGAUGUUCAAAUGCUUUUGAGCCUUCUAACAUAGACGACCUGAUCUGAGAGACCAGACCUUCUUCUUAACAUAGACGACCUGAGCUGAGAGACCAGACCUUCUUAACAUAGACCUGAGCUGAGAGUAAAGUAAGUCAUAUCCAAAUAUGGUUCUGGAAUGAUUUCCCGCCCUAUACUGGACCAUCGGAAAGAGGCACCCUAUACUAUUGACUAAUCACUCUUUUCGGUAACUAAGCAAUAAUGAAGAGUAAGCUCUAAGCUGUUUGGUUAUUCGCGGAGUGUUUAUUUCAUCUGUACCUAAGCUGCUUUCAUAUGUACCUUGUGUUGGUACCUAAGCAGUAAGAUGUGUUGUUACUAUACUUAGAAUAGAAGAUGGAUCCACACUACAUAUCUUAUUAAAGAAAGAAAGGCUGGACAAUAAGUAUCUUUAAGCAAUGCGGGCAAGGCAGGACAGACAAUAAGUAUCUUUAAGCAAUGCUAUUUGUUGACUCUUUAUUCUAUGUGCGUGUGUAACGCUCUCUCUUUUAUUCAAUGCUGUUUGUUUACUUCUUUUCUUUAGUUCUACUGGUUCGCUAUUAUACUUACUUCAGAAUCGAACUAGUGCUUAUGAGACUCGGCUUGGUGCUAAUAAGAAUGCCCUCCCUGCCUCUUCUUCUAAGACCCCUGAGCCGAGAUCCUUAACAGCUUGGGAGAAUAGUAGGUAUAUUGCCCUAUAACUAUCGAUCUUGCUUUACGGCAUCUUAGCCUGUCUUUGCUGUCUUUGAUUCUAGGACUGCUGCAUCUCGGAUCGACCCUUUCUCUUUUAAUAAGGAAUUGUAAACAGACAUAACUUCUAAUAACUCACAAGUAUUGUGAGUGGAGCUCCCGCCGAGUAUCAAUGGUGGAUGAGCUAUGAGUUUCAUUGAACAGAGGUCUGGAGACGAGAAGGAAACUUUCUGAAGCCUGAACCUUAAUGCUUGUUUGAACCUCACCUAUUACUGCUUACUCACUUUCGAAAGCUUCUUCUAAGGCUGCUGAUUCCUCUAAAUAACUGGCUGGUUACUUCUCUGGGCGCCAAUACGAGAUUCUCUGAGGAUUAUUAUCCGACUGCUCUUGCUGCUUCCUUUGCCACUUACUUGCGCACAGCUUAUGACACCGAUCGAGCUUAUUCCCGAUGCUCAACGAGACUUGUUCUUUUGCCGAACCUUACUAACGGAUCUUGUUCUUCUUGGGCCUGUCUUCGGUCAACAAAUAUGGAAUGGAAAAACGACUCUCCUGUUCGGCAAGCAUUAACCGCGCUGCGCUGAGAUACUUUAGGACAAGAAAAAUAAAUGGAAUCCUCUUUCGAGCUCCCUAACACCGAAAACAGCACUUGCUUAUUACUCUUAUCUGUAGUUAACACAACGUCUUGCUUAUUGCGCCUGCCCCUCUCCCAGAAAUGACUCUAAACUCCAAUGUAAUAGCUAAUGAUGCGCGCCCUAUCUUCUUCUUUCACUAGCGCCCAACGUCGAGCUCAGUUAGCGAGUUCUUUUUCAUAAAAUAAUGGAACUGGACAUUAGAUAGAAAAUAAGGUAACCAAAGAGAUAGCUAGCUUACAGGAUUUAACAACCAGACUGGAUACUCUACUCUAUUACUUUGACUUUGUCUGAGCUAUAGCGGCACCCGAUCCCGAUCCAACUAGUAACUACAUAGAGGCUCUUUCAACUCCCACUCAGGAUCCAGCGGACUUUCCUCUUACAACAAAAGCACCGAAACAAUUUGUUUAGUUUGAGCAAGAGUAGGAAAGUACUGUUUUCAGCUUCUGUUGAUUGAUUCUUGAGUUGACAACAUACAUAGAUUCCACUCGAACAGUCUAUUUUCCACGAUACUUUGCAUAGAGGUUAAAGGGAAAGACUAGGUCACAGAAUCAGCCGCUAUUGGAUUUCAUAGGGUAUAAUUUCCUUUCUUCUCAUCGAGGUUGCCUUUGUCUCUUCAAAGCUUCCAGGGAUGAUGCUUGAACUGGAUACUCUAAGGGUAGUUCCACCGUGUGUAAGAUGCGGUAGCGUUCUCUCUAAUAUGGAAUGAUAUAUUACUAUAGAGUGAUAUAGAAUGAUAUAUUACUAUAGAAUGAUGUAUUACUAGCUGUGAGAAUAGAAUAUCCGAUGCUGUUAGCUUUCCAGGUAGUGAUUCCCAUUAGUUAAUUGGGUCUUUCUUCUUGAAAAGACUGCUUCCAUAAGGUAGUUCAUGCAUUGAUGCAGAUAAGUUGGAAUAUUGUCAGUGUGCCACGAGUUACUCCUUUUGUGACUCUGUCUCUCCUCGUUAAUUCGUUUUGAGUUAAAUAACCCGGUAAAGUGCUGACCCGCCCCUGGCUCAAGGGAAAUCUCUUAUUGGAUUUAGGGAACGACUCCCAGCCAAGUGGUAUCACGAUUUAGCUGUUUUCGAAAGGAAUUGUCAUGGUGUUUCUUUGAUCCGAAGCAGUUCUUGCUCAAGUCGAACCAGCUUCUUAAGUGGCAAGAGCUUAUGCCUAAAAUAUCAAGUCAGAAGGUAAAGUAAAGAGAAAGCAGUCUACACGUGAAAGCUAGGCGAACUCCAGCCUUCUUUUUGAUUAUAUAUACCGUUCUAGCCACGGAAAGCAUUCAUUCCAAUUUAUUGAUGCUUUUUGUGUAACAGAUCCUGCUGUAACAGAUCCGGAAUCGCUUAUACCCGCUGAUUCUAGUAAUAGGAGAGAUUCUCCCGGGGAAGCGAAAGAGUAGUGAGGCUCACAACUUAUCCCUACUUACUUAUUUUCGUCUUUUUUCGCUCCUGACCCAAUCAAACUCGGAUCAGUUGGCAAGUCGAAUCCCACUCGUUUGUUUUGAGUUAUCGAAGGGAAAAAGAUGCAAUUCAUUCUGCCCGGUCAUUGGCGAUGAGAUAAAGGCUAUUGCACGGAAAGCGACUCUGGCAAGAGCGGAUUCCCUCACCUCACUUUUGGAACCAGAAAGUAGGCCUUACGAGGGCGCCCUAGCUAGAUGAACUCCCUGAUUUGAACGAGGAAUAAAGUAGGUCUUUUGACUUAAUAUUCCACUAAUAGCCGUCCAUUUUCAUCAUGCAACUUUCUAUCACAGGAGCUGAAAGCAUUCGUGAUUUGAUCUUCUUCUAUAAGAGAAUAUAAUAAGAUAAUCAAGUUAAUAUGUUUGUGAUGAAAUCGAUUCCUAUUCUUUUGUACCCUAUACAAACUCCCCGGCUUCCUUUCGAGCUGGGUCAUCCAAAUGCCAGUCUUUUCUUCGGUCAAAUGAACCUAAGCUAGCAAAAAGGCCUAACCGCACCACCAACUGAUGCGGAUGAAUUAGCUCUAUAAGCCUAGCACCCAUUCCUUCCAACUUAAGAACAGGCGCAUCUCAGAAGGAAUUUGAACUUGCUCCGGACUCUUAAAGCAGGGGAACUCGACAAGCACCCGAAGAAAACGAUACUUAUUUACUUAGCGACCUCGACUUGAACACCAUCUUUCUUGCUCCGAGUAUCUAAGGUAGGAUUUUUCAACAACAACCUUUCUGUUAGCCGAGUCAACAAAUACGGAAAAUACUAAAUGGAACUAACCCCUGCCUAUGAAUCAUGAACUGAGGAGCUCACUGACCCUAACAGUAAACUAACACGAGCAGCUCAUCUCUAAACUCAUGAAUUGCAAAAUCACUUUCUUUAUCGCCUAGCCUAGUAUUAUAAUAGGUUCUUUUUCACUUCCUUUCCUUCCCGUAAGCGCACAACAUCCUUCUGAGCUCAACUCAACUGGACCUCAGUCAACUAAUAAUUAUUUGAGUCUAUCGAGCUAAAGUAUAUAGGAAUAUUACCUUUAUGCAAGUAUAUAGGAAUAUAACCCUUACUAGACAAUACUGGCAUGGCACUGCUGAUUCCUAUGAUCCUGCUUGUCAUCUUUCUUCUUCUUCCUCCACUUCUACUAUCACUCUACUUUUUCAGGUCUUGCAGCUGACUUGCAAACAGGCAAUUCAUAAGCUUCAGAUCUAUCUUAUGGUCCUAAUUCCUCACCUGCUCCUUCGUCUGCUUCAACACAAUCACUAGUCACCUCUCUUGCGGACUUAGAUACAAUAACUUGAGCAGGAACUGGCUAUUCUGCAGCAGAUGAUAUUUCUCCCGAACCAGUGGAUUCUCUCUUUCAUCGACAAGAAAGGUCAACCGCCCCCAUUCCGGAGCAAGUCCAGAUGUAGUAUUGGCUAAUGGGAGUUCGUCGUUAGUUGUGAGUUUCUUUCUUGUGCAGCUAAUUAGAGUAGAGUGGAGUUCGCCUUCUUUUAAGUGAGUCAGGAGUAAGCGAUGCUCUAUUGUUACUAUAUUAUUUAUAUGUUAUAAGGCGGAUUGUUUUAUUGUUUCGUGCGCCUAUUCUAUUCGUGUUCGUCAAUUAUGAUAUUCGUCUUCUUAAAGUAAGCUAUGCCGUCUAUUCUGAAAAGUCUGCAAUAAUAGGUUAGAGUUUAGGGUCAAAAGUGGUUGCGUUAUAUAGCAUUACUAGGGAAAGAACGGAUUUCAACGUAGAAAUAACCAUCGACCAGUUCCCAACCUUAUAUUUGAUAAGGCGGAGGCACCCUUUUCUAGUUGAAUAGAAUUGAGACCUUCCUUGUUCCCUUACUUGCUCUUGCGCUAAGUAAAUGAUUGGAAUUCGUUUUUUCGAGCUGACUUAUCUUACUGACUCCCUUUCUGUUUGCAACUUACUAUUGAACAGCUUCUAAUCUCGCAGGAUUGACCUAAUUCUUUAUGAGACCCCCCCCAUCUGGAUACUUCAACUACACUUUCUUCACCACUAGUAUACUCUCAUGAUCCAGCUUUAACACCUGAUUUAGAGUACUUAUCGGUAUUGGCUAAAGAAUACUUCUUUAUCGUCGGCUUAACUCGAACAGAAACUUCAUUAGCAUUUCAGAAAGGAAUAGAUUCUUCCCUGAACUCGAAAGCGCCUGCGCCCGGAAACCUCAUUGAAGAAGCACCUCUCUCUUAUAGAAUAGAAGAACGACGUCAACAACAGAUUCAAUUCGACUUGAAAAGAAGCGCCAAAAGUCCAUCAUUCCAUUCUUUCUGCUCAAAAGCAAGUAUCAACAAGUGGAGAAAUACCAACAAACAAACAAGCAAUGGCAAACAAACAGACAAGUAAGUACCAGCAUUCAAAAAGGGAAAGUGGGAUUCAAACCAACAAGCAAAGAUGUGAGAUCACGAGAAGCAGACCAAGCAAGCACGCCCACUAGCUAUUCUUUACCUAAUAGAUUGAGUUCUUUAGUGAUACUACUUGAGAGCGCUGGCAGCCCAAGGUACAUCCUUAUCCUGUUACUGAUGAGUUGAGUUAUUGGCUGGGGUAUCCUUUGCACGGUAUCUUUGCUCGGCAGUUUCAUAUCCUCCCUUGACUUUGAGUCUGAACUCUCCUGGGGACCUUCAUCUAGCUUGUUGGAUCACACCUCGCUUCUUUAGGGGACCCCGCAAAGGUAGGAUAGAAUUCACUGAAGUAGUAGCAGAGUGAAGCAGCUAAGUAUCAUAAUUUCCAGUUAGAGUUUCAUCCUAGUCUCAGCGGGCUUGUCUAAAAGGGAGAAGACAUAUACGAGGACAGGACUUGGCGGAUAGCGAAGUCUACUUAGCCAGUACUACCUGUCUUCAACUCUCACUCGACAAACAAGAACAGGAUCAAUCAGGCCCAUACUCAAGAUCCCGUACAGGCUUUGAUGCGCUAAGUCCUGAAACAUACUCAAUUAGGACUCCAAAAAGCAAUGAGUUGAACUCAAUACAGACACCUGAGUUCCUUGGCGCUCCCUACCACUGUAGUUGCUUGGCCCUUUUCUUUGAUCGACCAGAAGCAACUAUGCUCAAAUUCCAUUCUUUUCUUUGAUCGACCGGAAGCAACUUCUCUUAUUCUAUAUGUUUGUUAUUGUCUGUCUUUGGAACAGCUGCUCAAAAAGAAAACAAGCGACUAGUGGAAUGAAACUAGAUCUGAUCUCCUCGGGCUCGGGAAAGCUGUUCACCAGAGCUUUGACUAUUACUACCGGGAAAGCUGUUCACUAGAGCUUUGACUAUUACUACGAGCUUUAGUUAGAACCUAUUAAUGCUACAAUCCAAAUCAAAUGUCAUGACCUACUUAUCCUUUUUCAAGACAUACGAGGCAUACAACGUUAACCCGGUUCGAGAACCUUCUCCCAUCGCAUCGGGACAUUACAAGCCCCAUCGAACAAACUUGGAGCUCCUGAGGACAGGACUCGCCUUACUGGGCAAUAGCCACUAUAAGAGCACUUGACUUCCCCAACCACUUGACUUUAGAUCCGACCCACACGAUGCAGGGCUCUUUCAUAAGAUUCCAAUUGACCUGUUAAUUCAAGCAGGAAUUAGAACCGAUUCGAUAUUGCCCUUAAAAGAGUAUAGGUAGAUUAGGUAAUGGCGCAAAAAGCUCUUUCUUUUUGAGUCCUCUCCUUGUGGAAAGCUAAGCUUGACUUGGCUAGAAUAGCGAAUAUGCUCUCUUCCUUACCCUUAUGGAGAGAAAGGAAAGAGGGAAGCUUAGGAAGUCUGUCUUGGAAGGAAUUUCGACUUCCAUCCAUGAUAUGCCGCUGAAAAGCAUUAAGUAGGUCGCCAACAGGCUCAACCUUAUCCUACAGAAAAUGAUAUGUCUUUCAUCGGUAUAGGGUGAUAAUCAUAAUGCAUGUGCUCGAUAUUCAUUCAGCUCAGCGAGCAUUAGAUGCAGGAGCGUAUCUGGAAUGGGAAGGAACAAGCAGACGCCAAGUAACUACAAAUAAAGGCGCAACGGAGACUACUAAGAGCCAGAUUGGGAGUCCCCCAGGCAAACUCCGGUGUCAUGUUGCGAAUUAAGAGCUUCUAAAGCAAAGCAAUCUUCUGUGCAAGCAAGAGAGAGAAAAGAAGUGCAAUUGUCUGCUGCAAUCGAUUCUUAAACAGGAGGUGACCUUGACUUCCAAUAAUGAAUUUCCCGUUAGCGAUAGCGAGCCACGCCUUUCAACAUUACCUGCUGAUUCGGAUGCUGAGAAUCCCUCUUUGGAUCUUUCUUCCCUUGGUGAAAGUUAUGGCUUCAAAACAAGUAACAGUCAGAUAUUCUGUCCUUAUCGUAUCGCUCUGUGAACCUUCACCCCCGGCAUCAGAUAUCGUUCCUACCCUGGGUAAAGCAUCUUAUCGAGCGUAGCCAAACACUCUCACUGCAGAUGAUCUUUCUUCUUGAGCACCCUGCAUAGAUAGUUGUAAAGACAUACCAUCCCUUCCAUUUGCUUCUGACGAACUAGACUUUACCGAUCCAGAUCCGAACUCGUAAACGGAUUUAUUGUCCUUCUGUUGCUGGUGGAGUCAGGUUGAGUUUCUAGUGGUGUUGUCGUAUAUAGAAGCCGAAUGAAAGUCAGCUCCCCUACUUACUUAAUGCAUAUAACGGAUCUCGCCCAAUACCAGUAGUUAUCUUUGAGCUUGCUCCGAUCCGAGUUGAACAAGUAAUGGCUGAAGAGAAGAACAAGCAAGGUAAAAUCGAAUCAGUAAGCAAACAUAUUAUUGUUUAGUUGAGGGACGCCUAUACUCAAUGGUUGCGGGAAAGAAAUCAGGGUUAAGGUCAGAAUAAAGUACUGGCGCUGGAGGAAAGAUGGAAUUCUUUGUUUGACCGGCGGAAGCGGUAAGUCAGUGUCAUCCACGAGAGAAGCGUCGGAGCAAUAAAGAUAAAGAAAGUCAAAAGUAUGUAGCGCUUGUAAGCAGUAUAAUAAGGAUUCGAAUAAGAAUAAUGCAACAAAAGAUGGAUUGGGAGUUGUUGGCGCAGGAGUGGAAUAAGUUAUAGGUCCAGUAUCAAGUGGAGUUAUCAAGUGAACUACGGAAUUGCCUGUUAGAAAGUAAUCCGUGAAGUCCACUCUUAUUGCUAGAUGAUUCCCUGAAUGAAAGUAGACUUUUCCUCGAACAGAAACACUUAGCGCUGAAUAAGCCUGUAGUGGAUUCCAUUCGCCUGUCUUCAUCGUCAACAAGGCGAGUUUGUUCGCGUGCUAGUCUUGAUUUAGAAGGAGGUUAAGGAGGUGAAGGUGAUUGGAUAAAGUCGGUCGUGUAGAGAAGUUAUUGUAUUGCAAUCAUAUGCUUGAUCAGAAGCCUCAUAAAGAUUAGGCGAGGAAGCUAUGGAAGCUGUGGAAUGAAAGUAUGGUGAGGGUGCGAGUUCCCGUGACGUGUUAGUAUGAGUUAUAGCGUUUUCUUACUCAUUUCACUGAACGAACAGAAUGGAAUCCAUCGAAUAGAUAGGUGAUUGACCAUUCUCUUUGUUUACCCUCGCUUAAACGUAGCAAAAAGAUAUACUCUCGGGGCCCUAAUACUUUAUAGCCUUCUGAAGCGCGUUGGGGUCGUUGGUCACACUCCUUAUCCCGCUAAUGAUCCUGGUAAUGCCACUCAAUGAGCCUAGCCUCUAAUGAAACACCCGCUUGUAGUUUUCAAAAUGAAGGAAUGCACUACAGAAUACAAAGCUUCUUAUCUUUCUGCUCACGUCCUAACUCAACUAAUAGAGAUAAGGUACGUAACAGCUUACUGCCGCAACUAAUAAGGGUUCAAAACAGGCUACUACACUUUCUAUUCCACUUGAGACUUCUUUUGCAACCAUUAAUAAGUCUAGACCAGUAAAACGGGAAUUCCAGAAAUGCACAUGAUAUGGAUGAUGGUAAAUAACCAGUAUUGUUUGCUUUUCAAGACUCACUAACGGCUUCCCUUAUGCUUGAAAACAGACGACUUGACUGCUGGCUCGCACCCCGCUCUAUCUAUCCCUUUAUUCUUAUUCUUAUAGAAUAUCGGCGUAACCUAUAGCCUAUCGCGCCCUAAGCUUAAAGAAAAGAAUCUAGAAUUGGAAGCCUGAGCCUAUACUAAUUCAUUGGCUGCCUAUACUAAGGUACUCUAUUCUUGCCUUUCAUCUUGCACUGUGGCUUUUUAUCGUACAUUUGCUUGCUCCCUUGCUUCCGCUUAUUAACUUGUUUGUUUUGUUCCUAAUACAGUGAGAUUAGAUUCUUUCCAGCCCGACUUUGUUACUUCUCUUGCAUUAACCGAGUUCUAGUCCAAGUCGCUAACACCGGAGGAACUGAGAAGCACACUCCACUGAUUGUCCAUGUUUCUGAACGUAACUUCUGGCUUUACUUAUUAUGGGCUUUUGAACGUUACUGAUUGCCCUGACUUGAGAUUCUUUUAUUAUAGGGGUUCUGCCAGCUGAAAACAUCUACGAAGACAGGACUUGUUUCUUGGGCAGAGUCAAUCGUAGGUAGUUACUGCGGGCCCUUGACUACCGAACCUGUACCCGUACUUAAGCAAUAGUCCAGAAACCUUUACCCGUACUUAAGCAAUAGUCCAGAAACCUUUACCCAUACUUAAGCAAUAGUCCAUAUUAGAUACCAAUCGCAAGAGGGACCCUUAUCUAAUGGAUUUCUUGAAUGACCUGAACGGAAACCUCACUGUCAUUAACUUACUUAACUGUCAGAAACUUACGGAAGCUAUAGGCCAUAACGCGCAACUACUUGUCCGCUCGUGUUAGCUAGUUCUGUCACUUGUAGUUUGGCGUUUGUUCCAGAAAUAGGGUUUCUCUGUUACUAUCUUCUAUAAUGUGUUGUGGACUUAUCUUUAUAUUCUAGUGAGCAGUGAUGUUGGGUAACUCAAAUCUAGAAUAUGUCUACGCUGGUUCCCUUGCAUAACUCCGUAAGCCAUGAUGUAACUCCCGUUAGCGCUUUAGUUGAGUUGCUUAUUGAAUUGAGGAGAGCGUUUAACAUAUAGAAUGAAGUAAACAACAACCUCCUGACUGCUUACCCGGAAGUGAGAAUUGAGGCACCCACUAAGAAAAGAGACUAUACUUAAGAAAAUCAUAGAAGUGCGCCCAUUCGACAAUAUAGAUGAAAGUAAACAACACUGCUUGACUUCAGGCUCUGCUCUCUCUUUACUUCUUCCGAAACUCAAAUCCUCUCCCGCACCUUUUUCCUUUAUCCUGUUGUAGCCGAUAUCUCAUGCAACAUCUUCGCUCCUGGCUUCGGGUCGCCCGUACUUUUAUUCGUGAACCCCUGUCAUUAUCAUCUAAUCCGAACCAAUGUGGUCAUGGGUCCAUCUUGGCGGCUGAAGGGUUUGAGGGUCAAUUGCCACUUCUAUUAAUCCGGUCACUAGUAAUAUCUCUAUUUUCUUCCGUAAUAUCUCUAUUUUCUUCCUAUGUCACUAGUAAUAGCUCCAUUCAAGUCCUGCUCUGCCCUUUUUCUAUUAUUCGAUAUAGCAUCCGCCCUUUUUCCAUUAUUUGAGUCAAUCGAUGGAGCUCCUGGUCUAGUAUCCGUUCGUUAUCCUUCUUCAGUGAUCCAAGACCUGAGAGAGUAGACGCUGCAGAUUGAUCUAAGAAAUAAAGACUAUUGCUCUACCCCUGUAGGGCCUUCUGAUCUGAAAACUGGUUUGAUCAUGCCUUCAUCAGCUAAACGCACCAACUUACUAACAUAGGGUUUCUCAUUUAUUUGAAGCAACCAUUUCGACUAUCUUUUUCGGUUGUUUUAUGCAGGUAUCUAUUCUUGCCUUGGCAUUGCUAGAAUCUCCAUUCCCCGCCCUAUGAUGAUGUCUUUUUCGAUCUGUUAGAAGGGAUAUCGCGAGUUUCCGCAAAGCUGCCUCCACGCCACUGGAACGUUAGAAUGAAGCCUUCCACCUUUUCUCAGCCCCGAUGGAUUCGACCAAACGAGUGGAAUACUAUAGAAACCUAAUUGAGAGGAACUACUUGUUUGCUUUACUGGCUUUACUUACAGGGCAGGAAAGAGUGGAGAGUCAAGGCGAAGGAAGGAACUCUUUACACGACCCUCAAAAUACGAACGAAGAGAAACCCUAUUGGCCCUUCAUUUAGAGUAGAGCCUUUUCGGACAGGAGUAAAGGCCCAGAAGCUCAUAGGCACAAAAAAACGAAAGACUCCACUAAGGCAAGGAAAAAGUACUAACAGAAGCGAGGAGGAAUUGGGGUAUACAUUUCAAAGACAAUGGCCCUCGCUCUUACUAUCUUACUCUAAUUUCUCUCCUUAUAUCUUUCCUUUCUAUCAGUCAAUGCAGCCGAUAAGACUGAAUCUGCAAACUAGCAAUUCCACUCAAACCAGGUAAUGCAAAUACUAAUACGGGAAACCAGCUACUGACUUUGUUUCUUUAGCUAUUGAUCCGGAUUCUUUCGUCCAAACUUGUAUUACUUACUUGUAUUCUUGCUUGUUAGUUGGAAGCCUCCCUCGUUGGGGUACCUCGCUACGAUAGGACAUAAUAUGGUGUGUCAGUGUAUAAGAAGAUAACUCACAAGUCGGAAAUAAACAAAUACUCUGAGUAGAAUCAAACCAGCCAGGGCGCAUACUGGAAUGGAAUACAUAAUUUAGGAUACCGGGCAUAGCUCUAAUACAUUGAAAUAGGAAUACAGGAUACAUUUGAUAGUAAUUAGAAUGCUCGGGUUGGUUGGGCAAUCAGGAGUUUCGUUUUCAUUAUGACUUUCAGGUUGUUGUCCUAUGCUUGCUUGUUUCAUUAUCAAAUUACUACUUAUGUGUUUUAGCCUCAGACCGAUGAGGGAUAUUCCUACUUAUGAGCUGUAUUCUUAUUAGUAUAGUAGCAGUUGUCUUAUCCGUACGAGUUGCAUUCUGUUUGAAAUAAUGGAUAAGUUUACUUCACACUGGAACAAUAGAUCUUGAGUUCACUGAUAUAGAACUUGCUGUUUUUUCCCUUAUUUCCCUAAGCGAAUAGAAAGAAAUUGACUAUAUAUCAUAACAUAAUAAGUCAUUUUAGAAUUCAAUAGAUAAGUCAGAAUGCCAGGGACACCUACAGAUACGAGAUCGGGAGCUACACUAUUAAAAGCAUGAGCUGAAGUUUCAAAGAGAGUAGAGCAAGUGCUAGUUUUCAAGUAAAGCAAGGCUCUUGGGCAGUAUAAAAAGGUGCGGGGUGUGAUUGAGAUACAGUAAAGAAAGGAUCCGAUCCCGUCCCCCAGAGUUGAAGAAUAAAGUGCUGUAGCUACAGACUAAAGUGGUGGAGGUUUCUAUUUAAGGUCUUGCUAGCCUGGGGUCUAUUCUAUUCUCGUAUGUCCUUGUUCCGGUCUUUGUAUCAGUAGAUUUGUUCUAUUUAUUGUAUGCGCUAUAUCAUAUGUUCAUUUAGAUUCUUCUUUGUAGGUGGGGGCUAGAUCAUAUCUGUAUUACAACUAGUAGGUGUGCUGAAUCAGAUCCAUAUUGUAACUCAUCCGCUAUAGGAUUGAAAUCCGAUGGCGAAGAAUUCAAGCUAAGAUGUAGAGAUUGGUAGCCAGUAAGGGCAGACUGAUUGGAAGGGUGGUAAGAGUCAAAGAAGGGACAUACUGAUAGUAUAGGUUUCAGUUUCAAGGCAAGUAGCGUGAGGCACAUGGGUAGUAUAAAGCAAGGUGUAGUUUCAGUAGCGGAAGUCCCGGGUUUUCAUAUAAGUAUUGGCAGCACUGGGUCGAUUCCCAUCCUUAUAAGUUUGCUUCCGAGCUAUGAGUUAAAGUAUGCAGGGCAGUAGCUCCAUUCUUUUUAUCAGCAGCUCUAUUCUAUAUUAUGAGACGAAUCCUUGUCAGUAGCAGUGAAAUCCUGCAUGAAAUGCCUGCUGAUCGAGUUUGAGCCGGUUUCUUUGGUUCAUGCCUUUACCGCUUAGCUUAGUUCAAUCCAUAUAUCGAGUAGAGAGUUUCAGCCUGAAAUCAGUAGUUAGAAGCGUAGUCUGAGUUGGGAGUUAAAGCAUUGGAUGUAUUAGUUAAAGCCUUAGAAGCUGUAGGUGAAGUCGGAUAACAGUAAAGGAAAUCCGAGUUAGUGCUUUUCUUCUUAUUGGUGUUGGGUCAAUUCCCUAUUUUGAGCUGGGUUCUUUUGAGUUGGAUUAUGCUUAGUAGCCUAGUGGUUCUUACCUUUGAAUAGCAUUCUGAUUUGAUAUUGUUAGUCUUAGUCGACAUAUUCUGACUUUGGAACUGCCACUACACAACAUUACCUUAACUGACGUAAGGCGAUAUCGGUCUUUCCGGUAGUUGUUUGUAUUCUAUACUUUGGAGGUUGGUUCCUAUUAGUACUACUAGUUCGAGAGAUCCCUAGCAGUGAAUUUGAUUCUUGUUUCUAAGUUGUCAUUCCUUAAGUACACAUCUCGUCCGGUGGGAACCUUUGCAGUAGGGAAGAUUCAAUGAACGCCCCUUAAUCGUUGGCAUUCUUCUGAGCAUACUCAAUUCCUUAUGAACUAUCAGAUGCAUCCUGACUUUCAUGCUUGUACUGGACCACAACUCGUUUAAGGCUUGAACUGAAUCUUUCUCU
rnacentral:lncRNA from 1 species